CCGAACCGACUAAUGUUGAAAAAUUAGCGGAUGACCUGUGGCUGGGGGUGAAAGGCCAAUCAAACCGGGAGAUAGCUGGUUCUCCCCGAAAGCUAUUUAGGUAGCGCCUCGUGAAUUCAUCUCCGGGGGUAGAGCACUGUUUCGGCUAGGGGGCCAUCCCGGCUUACCAACCCGAUGCAAACUGCGAAUACCGGAGAAUGUUAUCACGGGAGACACACGGCGGGUGCUAACGUCCGUCGUGAAGAGGGAAACAACCCAGACCGCCAGCUAAGGUCCCAAAGUCAUGGUUAAGUGGGAAACGAUGUGGGAAGGCCCAGACAGCCAGGAUGUUGGCUUAGAAGCAGCCAUCAUUUAAAGAAAGCGUAAUAGCUCACUGGUCGAGUCGGCCUGCGCGGAAGAUGUAACGGGGCUAAACCAUGCACCGAAGCUGCGGCAGCGACACUGUGUGUUGUUGGGUAGGGGAGCGUUCUGUAAGCCUGUGAAGGUGUGUCGUGAGGCAUGCUGGAGGUAUCAGAAGUGCGAAUGCUGACAUAAGUAACGAUAAAGCGGGUGAAAAGCCCGCUCGCCGGAAGACCAAGGGUUCCUGUCCAACGUUAAUCGGGGCAGGGUGAGUCGACCCCUAAGGCGAGGCCGAAAGGCGUAGUCGAUGGGAAACGGGUUAAUAUUCCCGUACUUGGUGUUACUGCGAAGGGGGGACGGAGAAGGCUAUGUUGGCCGGGCGACGGUUGUCCCGGUUUAAGCGUGUAGGUGUGUGUUCCAGGUAAAUCCGGUUCACUUUAACACUGAGGCGUGACGACGAGGCACUACGGUGCUGAAGCAACAAAUGCCCUGCUUCCAGGAAAAGCCUCUAAGCAUCAGGUAACAUCAAAUCGUACCCCAAACCGACACAGGUGGUCAGGUAGAGAAUACCAAGGCGCUUGAGAGAACUCGGGUGAAGGAACUAGGCAAAAUGGUGCCGUAACUUCGGGAGAAGGCACGCUGACACGUAGGUGAAGUGAUUUACUCAUGGAGCUGAAGUCAGUCGAAGAUACCAGCUGGCUGCAACUGUUUAUUAAAAACACAGCACUGUGCAAACACGAAAGUGGACGUAUACGGUGUGACGCCUGCCCGGUGCCGGAAGGUUAAUUGAUGGGGUCAGCGCAAGCGAAGCUCCUGAUCGAAGCCCCGGUAAACGGCGGCCGUAACUAUAACGGUCCUAAGGUAGCGAAAUUCCUUGUCGGGUAAGUUCCGACCUGCACGAAUGGCGUAAUGAUGGCCAGGCUGUCUCCACCCGAGACUCAGUGAAAUUGAACUCGCUGUGAAGAUGCAGUGUACCCGCGGCAAGACGGAAAGACCCCGUGAACCUUUACUAUAGCUUGACACUGAACAUUGAGCCUUGAUGUGUAGGAUAGGUGGGAGGCUUUGAAGUGUGGACGCCAGUCUGCAUGGAGCCGACCUUGAAAUACCACCCUUUAAUGUUUGAUGUUCUAACGUGGACCCGUUACCCGGGUUGCGGACAGUGUCUGGUGGGUAGUUUGACUGGGGCGGUCUCCUCCUAAAGAGUAACGGAGGAGCACGAAGGUUGGCUAAUCCUGGUCGGACAUCAGGAGGUUAGUGCAAUGGCAUAAGCCAGCUUGACUGCGAGCGUGACGGCGCGAGCAGGUGCGAAAGCAGGUCAUAGUGAUCCGGUGGUUCUGAAUGGAAGGGCCAUCGCUCAACGGAUAAAAGGUACUCCGGGGAUAACAGGCUGAUACCGCCCAAGAGUUCAUAUCGACGGCGGUGUUUGGCACCUCGAUGUCGGCUCAUCACAUCCUGGGGCUGAAGUAGGUCCCAAGGGUAUGGCUGUUCGCCAUUUAAAGUGGUACGCGAGCUGGGUUUAGAACGUCGUGAGACAGUUCGGUCCCUAUCUGCCGUGGGCGCUGGAGAACUGAGGGGGGCUGCUCCUAGUACGAGAGGACCGGAGUGGACGCAUCACUGGUGUUCGGGUUGUCAUGCCAAUGGCACUGCCCGGUAGCUAAAUGCGGAAGAGAUAAGUGCUGAAAGCAUCUAAGCACGAAACUUGCCCCGAGAUGAGUUCUCCCUGAGACUUAAAGUCUCCUGAAGGAACGUUGAAGACGACGACGUUGAUAGGCCGGGUGUGUAAGCGCA
rnacentral:rRNA from 1 species